AUCGCUUCUCGGCCUUUUGGCUAAGAUCAAGUGUAAUAUCUGUUCUUAUCAGUUUAAUAUCUGAUACGUCCCCUAUCAGGGGACUAUAUAUUAAACGGAUUUUUGGCACAGGGAGUCGGAGAAGGAGCUUGCUCCGUCCGCUUCAAGCAUCGACCCGUUAUUGCAGUGCGUUCGGGAACGGUGCGCCUCUC